rnacentral:rRNA from 1 species
UACGGAGGGUGCAAGCGUUGUCCGGAUUUAUUGGGUUUAAAGGGUGCGUAGGUGGUUUGGUAAGUCUGGUUUGAAAGUUGGUCGCUUAACGAUCAAGGGUGGCUGGAUACUGCAGAACUUGAAUAUUUUGGAGGUAGCUGGAAUGGGUUGUGUAGCGGUGAAAUGCAUAGAGAUGACCCGGAACUCCAAUUGCGUAGGCAGGCUACUACGAAAUGAUUGACACUGAGGCACGAGAGCAUGGGUAGCAAACAGG